GAGUCCCACAGGAGACAGGCUGUACAUCAUCAGCCAUGGGCAGGACAAGCUUCUCACCCUGGCCAGGGAUGGCACACUCCUGGCUACAUACACAGACACAGCACUAGAGCGCCCAUCUGAUCUACAUGUGACCCCUGCAGGCCAGGUGCUGGUCUGUGGAAACUGGUCCCACACUGUAUUACAGGUGGGCUGGGAGGGAGAGAGUAAGCUGGCUACGCUGGCUACUGAGGAGGAUGGAGUGAGCUGGCCAUGGUCAGUCUGCUACAGCAGCACCACAUCAUCCAUCAUUGUGGGACAGUGGAGUAGCGACACAAUCCUGGUGUUCAGAGUGGAAUAGUGUGUACAUUCGCUGCUGAGUCAGGACAAGGAUGCUGAGGAUGUGGUGGACAAGGAUGACCUGAAUACACAGAAGGAGAGCCCCGGUUUUGAUAUAGAGUUGGUACGGCAACGGUACCAGUCGGGACCGCAGAAGCCUCAAGUCAAGCACGACCCCUCCCCUGACCCUUAGCUUCUCCCAUUUGACAUCCAGCUUCAAAGGGUCAGCAUCGUUGAACAAAUUCCUCCUAUAGAAAAUUUUGAGCACAAAGAGUUUUCAUACAUGGUUCUCAACAACCACAAUGUUCGUGUCGAGUGAUCCGCACUUGAGCCUAAUUGGUUUGUUAGACCCGAGUGCCGGAGAUGAGACAACCGUUACAGACACAAGGACUUAUUGCAGCAGUUAUGGCAACAUGUCCAGUCAGUUCUCAAUGUUGGACUUCACAACUAAUAUCACGAUAAAAUACAAAGUUGGAUAACUCGUUCCAUUCUUUUUGGGACAAACAAUACAACGGAAAGUAACAAAUGAACAUCAAGGAAUAUUUGUAGAGUUUUAGUCGGAAGCGUAUGCUUACCACUGGGAUACUCCUGGACAGUCGUAACUUUACGGACAGUCCCGGUUUGUCCUCACAGGUGUCCAAACUGUCCAAAGAGAACGCACUUUUGAAGCAGUUGCGAACAAAGAAAGGCAGCACCGACUUUGUUGUGAACACUCAGAGCAUCCAUGGCCAUGCCUCAGGCGGGAAGUUUGACCAACAGCUGAAACAAGGUGCUAAAGGUGAACCCAUCAGGGUUUGUAACUUCCCACUCCAAUCCUAAACAGCCUGGCAUUGAGUUGGCGCUUGAGAAGGCGUUGAAAAAUGACAGCAGUUUUGUUGUGUGGUCCAGUAUGCCCUUUGGCUCUCAACCCGAUGUUAGGUAGAACUCAAACUGGGCCCUUAGCAAUAUCAGCGAGGCUAGAAUGUCAUCUCUGCAUCUUGAGCUUCAAAUAAAUAUGGCAACACUUCCAACAGCUGAGCCUUGGUGAGUUCAACUUUCAUCCGACGAGUCACUCGAGGUGAAACAAUCUGAUCCACAGAUAGAGCAGGCGCUGAGUGACUCGCCUGUUUACGUGACUGACCUCCAUAUGUUGCUCUCCAAUAAUGUGAACAUGACUGAGGAGCAGUGUUGUCCUACAUUCCCUGUUCAGGGCUGUGACUUUGUCGUCAAGACUCACACAAUCUCUGGCUAUGGCCCUAUCGCAGCAGCAACAGCAACAAAAACAGGAAGUAUUUCAGCUGCACUCUGGGAAAACAGGGCUUAAUGCAUGUGCCUAAAGUGUUGUCCCAGAUAAAGGUGUUAAGUCUGUCGCUCUUAUCAGUGACCACACUUUCCGAAUAGGCCUUUAAAUGAAAAUUCCUUAAAAGCGGAAAGUGUCAUGGCUGAUGAGUUUGUGCAGACUGCACAGGCCAAUCUUGAAGGACUUUUUACGCUUAUGCAUUUAGCCCGGUUUUUAAAGAGUGUUGAGUUGCACAAUAAGUUUACGUAACAUUUUUCUGACCUUUCUGAAGAAAAGUUUCUUUUACCAAUUUGGAAUUUUGUGUUUUUAAAUAAGUCAAACUGAGUAAAUAAAUACAUAUAUAAGAGUUGAUUUGAUAUCAGUUUUAAUCAUUAAGGGUUAGGGCAUAUAUUCAUUCAUUUUUGUUCCAAAAUUCAGCCUCUAAACCAAAUUUUUUUUAUGUGUUUUCACUUGUAUAUUAACAAAAUUCCCCUUGCAUAAAUUAAGCAAAAUACUUAUUAAAUUAUUUAAAUUAAACAGUUAUUGAAAUGCAGUCAACAUUCUAUGAAAUAAUUAUCUGCAUUUAUUUUAAAUAAGAAUAUCUUUAAAUUAAAAUUGUUAAUAACCACCUGUCCAAGUUUUAAGUAUACAAAUAUGCUGCUGGAGUAAGAAUAUGCCCUGUAGAUAUUUAUUAAUUAUACCCCUGUUAAUUGGUGUAUAUUGGAGUCACAUUGGAUGGAUGUCUGUCGGUCUUUCUAAAUGUCGGUGGCCUGUGGCUGUUCAAAUUCAACGUUCAGCAUUCAAACUUUUAGGUAUUUUCAUUCUCAUAUGAGGUUGUGCAUGUGCAUUUUGUAUCAAACUUCACUGAAAAUUACAAAACUAAGACAAUCUAUAACAUCAUGCUACAUAUUAUGACUUUCACCAUUGGGUGAUAUUUUUGUCACAAUGGUAACAAAUUCUUGUUUGACUAGAAAGCAAUUACACCUUUUAGCUUAUAGUAUUUUUAUACAGAUUAGAAGAUGUUGUUUUCUUCAAAGAAUUAAAAAAAAAAACAUAUUUUGCUUUGGGAUAUGGUCAGCCAUAUAACUUGUUAAUUGAAUGGUCAUGAAAUAAUGUUCAUGUCCAUUCUCUCAAUGAUUCUGCUUUUAUAUUUUGCAUACUUCUUAAGCAACAUGAACGCAACCUUUAAAUAAGAGCGGACAACUUUAUCAAGCAUUUUGUAAGAAUUAUGGUCCUUUUUUCACUUAGAAUAUGCAUAUUAUUGAUAAAUUUAUGUUAAAGUUUGCGUACCACCUCAAAUAUUUGUUAUGUCUCUUAACAUAUUGCUUUCAUAUUGAGUAUACUUCUUUACCAACAUGACCCCAAUCUAUAAACAGGAGCAGACAACUGUAACAGGCAUUUUGUAAGAAUUAUGGCUCUUUUUCCACUUAGAAUAUGCAUACUAUUGAUAAAUCUAUGUUAAAGUUUGCGUACCACAUCAAAUAUUUUCUAUGUUCAUUGUAAUAUUGCUUUUAUAUUUUGCAUACAUCUUGACCAACAUGACCACAAUCUAUAAUCAAGAGCAGACAACUAUAUCAAGCAUUUUGUAAGAACUAUGUUCCCUUUUUAUAUGUAGAAAAUUGAAACUUUGGUUAAGUUUUGUGUUUAGGUUCACUUUAUUCCUAAAGUAUCAAAGCUAUUGUUUACAUACUUGCAACACUCACUAACUAUCGUAAGGGGACUGUGCAGGCAAAGUUAUGUAACUCUUAAUGGCAUUUUGACAGAAUUAUG